UACAGAGGUGGCGAGCGUUAUUCGGAAUUAUUGGGCGUAAAGGGCGCGUAGGCGGCUUGACAAGUCCCGGGUGAAAUCCCUCGGCUCAACCGAGGAACUGCCUUGGAAACUGUCUGGCUUGAGGCCGGGAGAGGGUAGUGGAAUUCCCAGUGUAGCGGUGAAAUGCGUAGAUACUGGGAGGAACACCGGUGGCGAAGGCGGCUACCUGGACCGGUUCUGACGCUGAGGCGCGAAAGCUUGGGUAGCAAACGGG
rnacentral:rRNA from 1 species